CCCCAAUAAUCGGUCAUGUGAGAGAAAUAUUAAAGUUAUGAGAAUAAAAUCUUUGUUUCUGUCUCUACAUAGAAGGUUGAGUGAAGAACAUGUUUAUGAUUCUCAUGUUUCUCUCCAGUACCUGAUGCUGCUAUUGCACCACGUCUUCAGUGUGUCAACAUGAACGUUGUUGAGGUUUCCAACUUCCUGCCAGGAUAUGGCCAUACAUUCUCUGCUGGAGGACCAAACAAGGAUGUAUGUAAUGGUGACGUUGGUUCAGCUGUGGUGUUCAACAACAUGAUUUAUGGUGUGAUUUCUCCAGUUGUACCAGGCAAUGCAUUUCAGAUUCGGGUUUUCAUCAUGGAUGUGUGUGGAUUGGGUGGAUAAGAACAACAAUUGGGAUUUAAUAAAACAAACUGUAAUGAAAUAUAAUUCUCAUCAAAUUUCCUCUCAGAUAUAAUUUCAUUAUUGUAUCUUGAUCAGUUUGAUCCACAUGUUUGUAGGAGCAGAAUAAAUCAAUAGCUUUGUUUGUUUUCACCUAACCUUGAUCUCCCUAAUGGAUCUUUCUCCACUCAGAAAUUAACAAUAAAUCAAUGAAUGCAU